AAACCUUCAAUUAACAACUCUUGAGACCAUUACAUCUCCACACUAAUUUUAAAAACCUAGAUCUGCGACGACACAAUAGCCUAAAAGCAUCUUUAACAGACCUUUUAAGUAAAUUUGAGAGUACCACAUUACUUUUAAGAUUUUUUUUAUUACAAAAAUAAUUUUUAUUUUGAGAUUUUAAUCAUUUUUAUUUUUAUUUUGAUUCCUUCACCGCCUCCAUCUUCAAUCCUCCCUCCCCACACCCUUCCUUCUUCCGCCACCCACCUCCCCUCUCCGCGGGUUUCUUCUCGGCCUCUGCGGGAGCCAUUAGGAAAAUAAAAUGAGACACUUGGAAGAAAAUAAGUUUAACUUAUUCCAGUUCUUUUAGAACAUAGAAAUGGUAUUCAGAUUUUAACUUCAGUAAUCAUUGUUGCCAUUUCACCAUUUGAAAAUGAAGUUUCUUGAUUGGUACUUGAAGAUUGGGGUUGUGUCGGCUCUGGUUGGGGCUUCUAUGGAGAUGUUCAUGAUCAAAACUGGAUUCUAUGACAAAGUAACUGUCUUGGAGUCAGAAAAGCGUGCCUGGGAGAACUCCCCGGAUGCUCAGGCAAUUAGAGAAGCUCUCAACCCCUGGAGACAGAUUGACACAGAAAAAA